AGCUGUUCCCCUCUGGAGGUUUCAGAUCUCCACACUUCAUGGGCCGCGGUAUCCGCUGGCCCAUUUUUUUUAUUUUU
rnacentral:sRNA from 1 species